rnacentral:rRNA from 1 species
AGGUAGUUGGUGAGGUAAACGGGCUCACCAAGGGCGACGAUCAGUAGGGGAUCUGAGAGGAUUAACCCCCACACGGAUACUGAGACACGGAUCCGACUCCUACGGGAGGCAGCAGUAAGGAAUAUUGGACAAUGCCCGCAAGGGUGAUCCAGCCAUGCCGCGUGCAGGAAGACGGCCNUAUGGGUUGUAAACUGCUUUUAUACCGGAGAAAACCUCUUCUCGUGAGAAGAGCUGAUAGUAUGGUAAGAAUAAGCAUCGGCUAACUUCGUGCCAGCAGCCGCGGUAAGACGAAGGAUGCAAGCGUUAUCCGGAUUCAUUGGGUUUAAAGGGAGCGUAGGUGGCCUUAUAAGUCAGUGGUGAAAUCUCUCGGCUUAACCGAGAAAUUGCCAUUGAUACUGUAGGGCUUGAGUACAGUUGCUGUGGGCGGAAUAUGACAUGUAGUGGUGAAAUACAUAGAGAUGUCAUAGAACACCGAUUGCGAAGGCAGCUCACAAAACUGUAACUGACACUGAGGCUCGAAAGUGCGGGGAUCAAACAGGAUUAGAUACCCUGGUAGUCCGCACUGUAAACGAUGAUUACUCGCUGCUAGAGGGCAACUUUUAGUGGCUUAGCGAAAGCGAUAAGUAAUCCACCUGGG